rnacentral:lncRNA from 1 species
GUGGAUAAAUUUAUUGACAUCAGUAAACUACAAUGGAUGGUUAUAGUCACAAUUUUAUAUGACCUUUCUUAUCAGACAAGCUUCUUUUCAGAAUGUGCAGAUAUUCAUGAUACAGCAAAAUUAAAUGUUAAGUAAGUAGCCCCACAAGGUCACAGCUUAUUGAACCACUUCAAAAUCUGUUAACAUAAACAUUCAGAUUUUCUUCAUUUUAAUCAGUGGAAAAUUCAUUAUAUGUAAUUUCUCCCAUAAAAAUGUUCAAACAACAGAGGCAAUGUGGUAUAGUAGUGAGAGCUCUGAAUUUGGAAUCAGAGGGACGGGGUUCAAAUACAUCCUCUCCUUUGCUAUAUUUUGGGCAAAUGUAUUUAUCUUUCUGAGUCUAAAAUUUAAAACGAGGGAUUGAAAUAAACAUUCCUUUUAGCUCUGAAUUGCAUGAAACUAAACAAGUUUAAGUUUCUAAAAUAACCAGACUUUUGAAUCUAUUUCUCUUUCUCUUUGAUACUUCUGUAUGUGUAUGCAUGUAUGUAUAUGAGUGAAUUCAUGCACAGGAUGUUAUUUUAACUGUAAGUUUUCUUCCUUACUAUAUUAGGUCAGAGUCUACAGUGAAGGGACUGAAGAGAGAGGAAGUUUCUAGUAGAUUUUCUAUUUAAGGAGAACUAGACAGCUGUAAAAAGCAGACUCAUAAAAUCUUAGAAUUAAAAGACCUCAGAGAUCAUUUCAUCCACUUUUCACCCAAAAGCUUGAGUCCAGCUAACAAUCGCCUUCAAAUAUGAGUCUCCUUGACUUCUGAUCAUUCUAAUAAUACAAAUUUUCCUUUCUUAUGCCUAAUUUGGGGAAAUUUUGUGAUAAAUCAAAAAAAAAAAAACUAUUACUUUGUAAUGGCCACCCCUUGGUCCAAUUUCUGCCCUCUAAAGCCAGUAAGAUGUCACUGAGGUUGCUGAUGGUUUGAAAAAACAAACUUCAAUGCUUUGUUCAUUACAGAGUGGAACAGGCUUUACAUUUUUAAAGAUUCCAAAGAAUAAUAUAGAUUUUUAAAGUCAAAGCAUAAAGCUAUACUUCAUCAAGCAAUUUCGUAUGGUGUGAAAUAGAUUUAGUCAAAUAAUACUCCAUAUACAAUAGCAUGAAGAAUAAGCAUCAUCUCAUACAUUAUAAAAUUGUGCUAAUAAAAAUGUGUGCUUAUUUUCUAAAAGGAGAAAUUUAUAGUCAGUUUUCUGUGGUCACUAUUCUAUUCAGAUAUAAGUUCUUUAGAGAAAAAGGUCAUAUUUUAAUCACUUCACAUGCCAAUGGAAAAGUUAGCUGUUUUAGCCAUCAGAGAUAAAUAUACAUUUAAGAUGUUUUAUUUUAUGUUUCUAAAUGUAACAGAAGCCUCCCCUACUGUCACAGAUCACAGUGUGCUUCGUCUCUUCAAAGAAAUAAUGAAUUUCUAGAUGGGCUAUUAAAUAUGCCCCCUUUUUCACUUUUCAGCCCCUUUUUGUUAUCAGAGCUUUCAGAAGGACAUUUUCAUCUUUGGUUAUAGCAAUUCAGUUUUACAUUGAAUCUCUACGCUCAUCCCAGACUUAUUCCCUUGGAUUUUGGUUGUCAAAUUAGAAAAUAUAAAGCAAACUUGAUAGAUGCUAUCUGAUUCUGAUACUGAGUGACCCGAAUCUCACUCUAUGAGACCCCAGAUCUAGUGGACCUUUGGCUCUAAUUGGCCAUAUCUUCUUAACUUCCAAUUUGGGACACACACAUCUACCAAUGGCCAUUCAUUCUUUUAAUAGGCCAACAUGGACAAACAUAAGAUUUGAGGCUGCAGAGAACUUGGAGGGAGUUGGAUAUAAAUAAAAGCUGAGAUUAAUGAUGACAAGGAUAGAGUUUCAAGAGUGAAAUCAAUGUCUGGUGGAAGAAAGAUUAAAUCUAUUUUACUUGACUCCAAAGGGCAGAAGUGAGAAUAAUGAGUGGAAAGUAGAGAAGUGGAUUUUAAGUGAACAUAAAGAAACAUUUUCUAAUAAUUACAUAUGACUAAAAUUGAAUGAACUAUUUUAGAGUACUAAUUUCUCUGCCACUGAAGGCCUGCAAGCAGAGGUUGAAUGACCACUUGUCUGGAAUAUUAUUUUUCAAAUUAAAAUCCCUUUACUAUGCACUCUCCAUGCAACAUGCCAGGGUACAGAAAUGCUUAAUUAUUUUGUGGCAAUACUGAACUCCCUAUAGAGUUCCAGAUACCAAUGUACUUAUGUUUUAAACAUCAUAUACCCAAAGGAUAUACCUCUCAUCUAAGUGAACAAAAACAAUGAAGCACAGGCUAUACCAAAUGCAUCUCUGCCACAAAAAUACAUUAUUCAUUUUGACUUUGAUGAUGAGAAGAUUAAUAACAUAACAAAAGCUUUUCAAGCUUGUGAUUUACAAAGAAAGAUUGAAGAUUAAUCUGAAGGGUGUUGAAGUUCAUUUUAAUACCACAAAUUAGGAAACACUUUGGAUUUCAUGCAGGUGAAGGUAAGCAUUGCGAAUUCCUGGAAUGUUCACACUGAAUAACAUGUCAAAAACUAUCCUUAUUACAGAUAGAUCAAUGGGACCUUAAACUUCUUUCUUGGACCUGCUGAACUUCAAUGAAAUGUUUACCAAGCACAUCCUAUUUUGAUGCUUCCUCAUGGUGAGGUGAUUAUCCCAGGUGCUUAAAAACUCUUUCAGUAAAAAUCAAGUGCUGGCAUAUUUCUGCCAUCUGAGGACUGACCCAUCUAAGUUCACAGGAGUUCAUGAUCAGAAGGUUGUUCCUUAAGUUAACUUGAAAACAAUUAAGACUAGCUAUUACAUUAUGGAAGGGUUGCAAUCUGCAUCAGUGAAAGAAGUAUUCCUCCGAUAAAAGUCUUUUGAAGAUGAAAACAAAUAAUUAAAUGUUAUGGGUUCUAUGUAUGACUCAUAUGCUAGGAUUUGAAUCAUAUCUAUGGUGAAACCCACCUGAAGUAGAUUUCCAAGAUCAUCAAAUUCUCAUAAAAAUAGCCAUAGAGCAUUACUCCCAAAUGGAGAAGUUUGAAACAAAGUACAAAAAACAAUGUUACUCAAAUAUAUGCAUUUACAUGUGGCCCAGUUGCUUCUGAAAAAAAGUAUUUUAUGCAUGGGUAUAUGUGUAUAUAUGUGUAUACAUACACACACACUCAUAUAUAUGUACAUAUUUAUAUAGCACGUAUAUGUGUAUAUUUAAAUGUAGUCAUGCUAUUUGCCACCUGUGCUCCAUUUAGUCUACUGUGCUCCGUGUACUUCUCCAUCUCAUUCUCAGCACAUGGCAAUAGAAAUCCUAUAUAAAUAUCUAAAGGUAGUGUAGAAUCUCAAAGUCAUAGAAUCAUAGGGUUUUGCAGUUGAAAGGAACAUUGUGAAAUCCAAUCCUCAACAUGAUAUAAAAAUGCCCUUUACAACAUCUUCAGUGGCAUAUGUAGCCAUCUGAUUCAUAUUGGAAUAUCUCCAGUGUUAGGAAACUCAAAAUCAUAUAGGAUAUGAUCUUCCAUUUGACAGCUCUAAUCAUUAAAAUCUCCAAUGCUCUAGAGAUUUACAGUUAGUCAAAUUCUGUCUAGUAAGAUCAGGUAAAUCAAGUCAGACCUUUUUUGUUUGUUUAUUUUCCCAUGAUUAUUCUUCAUAAGCUCAAAUGUUUCUUAUUUAACAUGAUUUGGAGUAUCCUUAACCUGCCCUCAUCCCCUCACCUUUAAGGUUAAUAACCUUUAUUGUUAAUAUCCUUUAUUUUUUCAUCAUAACCAUUAUUUUCAUCCUUUUCCAUUUCAACAUUAUCCAUUUUGAGCUGGGAAGAACUUGGAGGAAUAUUUACUACAAUUCUCUCAGUAUACAAAUGAAUAAAUAGAGGUCCCAGGAAGUUGUGAGUUUUCUCAAGGUUCACCGGGUAUUCUUAAAUACGGUAACCAAAGCUGAACAGAAUACAUCAGAUUGAUCUAAAUGGACCAAAGUAGAAUGAUUUGGACACCAUCAUUGAUUGUUACCUAAAGUCACAUUAGAUUUUGUGGCUACUGGAUUAUAAAGUACUUAUGAUCCAUUAAUCCCUAAAAUUUAUGGAAGAAUAGCCAAGGGAGAUUUUUUGACUAAUGGAUUUUACUGAGAAGAAAUGAUCUGUGAAGAAUGGCUAAAAUACAAAGGGAAAUGAUUUUUAAAAGAAAAAAGCUUAAGAGAAAAAGAAUAUUAAGACAGCCAUCCCAUCUCUUUAUAUCUUUGGAUUUAUAAAGUUAUAAAGUUGGUGAAAACACCAAGUCCCCCCUAUUCAUUUUAUAGAUGAAGAAAUAGACAUAGAGAAGUUAAAUGAUGUGAAUAAAGUCUCUCACCCAAUAAAUGAUGGAGGCAGCAUUUGAAUCCAGGUCUUUCUGAUUCUACCUCUAGCCCUCUAGUUCUAACACUAAAUUGUCUCACAACCUAAUAUGAUGUUUUGUUCAUGUACGUUUUCCCUAAAUAUCUGCUAUGUGUCUUUUUUUACAAAUAAAAAAAGUUUAUCUACACUUUGGGGCUUCCUUCCAAUAUGCUUUCUUGCUUAUACCAUCUAUUAGAUGCAAAGAAGUGACAGCAAAUGUCCUUCACUGAAAAUUAGAAAAAUACUGCAUUAAGUAUAAUCUGGAGAGUUGCAGGCUGUUUAUGAAUGCAGAGUUGACUGUAUUGUAUAAUUUAUUAAUCCUGACUUUCCCCUUAAUCAAGAAUGACCAUGUCAGCAGUGUUAUGAGCAAUGGCAAAAAAUUUGAAAAAAGAACCACAUAAUGGAUUCUUUCCAGUCAGGGAAUAUAUUUAAAGGGGAGGCACUUGAAUUUAUGAAUGUAUUCCUUUUACAUCAUUUUAUUUCUCCAUUUUGAAAUUCAGAUUCUAAUGUUACAACUUCCUUUUCACCUGUCACUUCUAUCAAAAAUGUAUAAAUUUUUGCUCUCAAUUUGCCUUUCUCUCAAGGACUUCAGGGUCCUCAAUUCAGCUGUAACUAGAAUAAUCAGUGAUGAACAGAGUCAUGAAAAGUAUGUGCAUAUGUAUUCAUCACUGAGCUGCCCUUAUUAUUAUAUUUCAAACUAUUUUAGUUUCCUGAAUGGCUGAUUAUUAUUGAAACUUCAGCUUUAAAUUUUUUUUCCUUAUAAUUAAAGGUAUUUGCCCUCAUUAGAAUGCUAGUAAAUUGAAGGACCUGAGAAUAUAAAUAGGGGACAAAAGAAAUCUACAAACGAGAGAAAAAGAAGGAAAGGUGCUUUCAAGGAAAUAAUGAAAGGAAAAAGCUGCAGAGAUUGAGCAGAGAGGAAGAAUGUAGAAAUGGUGAAUCCUAGGAGAAUAAGGUAAAAAAUAAAGGAGCUUCCUUCCUUCCUGACCAUACUCACACUCUGCUCUGGUUUUUCAUCUUUGCUAUCUGUGUGACCUGGAGUGAGACAUUUAACUUCCCCAAACCUUAGUGUCCUCAUCAGUAAAAUAGUCCUUAUAUUUUCUGCUUUAUUGGUUUGUUAUAAGGAAAGUGCUUUGUAAGCCUUAAAGUGCUAAUGAAAAGUCAGUUAUUACCAACCUCCAGAAGACUGUUGUGAUAAUCAAAUUAAAGAAAGUAUAUGGAGGGGUUUUUUUUCAAUUAUAAAGGAUUGUUGAAUGUUAGUGAUAUCAUCAAGGAGAUAGCUAGAAAAUGAAAUGGGUCACUCACCAACUAAGAAUCAGAAUCUGUUUAAAUCAAGUCUUCUAACGGCACUCUCAAGAAAUAGAAUAAUUAAGAGAAGGCCUCCAAUACACUUGAUAGAUCUGUUAUGGAGAAUUUUCAUUAAAAGACAAUAAGAAUGAGCAACAACAAAAAGAGUCACAUAGGACCAGGGAAAAAAUGGAGGGCGUGUCCACAAUGAUGAAAUUACAGCUAGUUUAAUGUAGCAAGGUAGCCCCCUAAUCACUGAAAUGUCACAUUUAGGAAUAAUUAUGAUUUAUAUAAAACCUUAAGAUUUAUCAACAGAACUUUCUAUAUGUUAUGUCAUCUGAUUCCCAACAAGAAUACAGGAAGAAAGUUGAUCUUAUUCUGUCAGGCAGGGAAACUGAGGCUUAAAGAGAUGUAAGUGCUAGCAAGGGGCAUUAUGACACAAUGGAAAGUCGGGUUGUCAGUAAACUGGCAUUUAUGAAGUGCCUACUCUGUGCCAGGUGCUGUUGCUGGGUUUGGGGUUAUUGAUAGAUUCCAUCUCUAUUACUAACUUCUCAUUUGACCUUUGGAAAAUCCCUUAACACUUCUUUAUUGGUUUCCCUUUCAACGAUACCUCUUAGCUCUAAAUUUAUGAUUUUAUGAUCCUAAAUGUCACAAGCAGAAUGUGAUCCCAAGGUCUGACUGACUCUAACAUUAGAUUAACGUGUCUGACUACAAGUAUGUGCCUGGAUCAGAUGCACUCGGAACCCUGAUCCACUAACAGAUUUUGGAAAAAGCUUUGCCUAGAGUUUUAAUGCAGAAUUUUCAUUACAUGCCUAUUCAAUUUAAACUCCACCUGAUUUUUUAAUGGCUCCUUAGUUCAUUCCAGCCUAAUAGAAAUUAGUUCUUUGUAAUUAUUGCCUAUAUUUUCUUUGUGGUUCUUUCCCUCUUCUUUUCUAUCAUUUUCUCUCUUUAUAGCUUUUCUGCUUCUAGAGGAUGGCUAGAAAAGGAGCCUUUGAAGAUAUUCUUCCCCCUUGUUAAUGAAAGCUAGAGGGAAAAGAUUUGUUGCUACUUAAUUGGAAAAGCAAAAUGGAAAGCUCUCAUUUUAUGGAUGAAAAAAAAAAAAAAAAAAAAACCUAAUGGCCAAAGAAGUGAUGGCUCAAAAUCACAAAGCUAUUAAGUGGCAAAAUGGAACUAGAAGCUGUUUUAUGAUUCUUAGUCUGGGUGUUUUUUGCUAUUUUCAUGGAGGGGGUCGGGUAAUACAGUGCAAGAAAUGCACUUGGCCACUCACUGGGGGAGAACACAGGAUGAUAAAGACAAGCCAGUCAGAACUUUGGCGAGCCUUGUUAACUUUGAAAGCUGCUGAUGGCAACGUCCUCUCGACUAAUGGCAAAG